GUCCACGCCUAAUUAAUAAACAAUCUCCUUCAACAGAUUAAAUUUUGCCAAAUGCUCAAUCUCAUCAAUGUUAUUAAGAUCAAAUCUCUCUAGUACAUGAAUAUGUCGAUCGCGUGCUAUAUGUAGCGAAUCAUCAUUUCUCUUGCUAGAUUCAGCAUUAUUCAUUUUAAAAUUCACACACACGCAUAUACAGAAGUAUGUUGAAGAUCAUGCUCAAAUUUUUGCCAAGUACUUAGAAUAAACUUGAAUGUGAAUGUGUCCCUCUUGUUGCACAGAGUUGGCUCUUUUGAAUGUGAACUGAAAACAUCCAAUAAUCAAGUGCUAAUUAACUGGGGUUAACAGUAACCCGUGUCCUUUUGCUUUUACAUACUUUUUCUUUGAUACAAUACCAAGAACCGUUGUGAAUUACAACAACUCUUUUAAUCACUAAAUACAAUAUUAUAUUUAGACAUACAUGAAUUAAUUUGUCAAGUUAAAUUUACUUUACACUUUCAAACCAGAAGUGUAAGUUACACCGGUGGAAGGUAACCAAAGAUUCCCCUCAAUAAAUUGAGCCACAGUGAAUUUAGUAGCCUCACUCGAAUCAUUCAAUACAUGGUAUCCUGACCAUUUCACCCGGUUAGCUACCCCGGCACCCGGUCCAGAGUUCAUGUAUUCAGCGUAGUACAAUGUGUUCAAAGCAAAAUUACCGUUCCACUCUAACCACCCUUCUGGCCUUAUUGCGUCACUCAUGUAGGAUUGCAUAAAAAUUGUUCGCGAAUAAGUCUUCCAGGGUCUACCAAGGUAUGUUGGGAUGGUUGUGACCGAUGGUAGAAGGUCAGAAUCUGCGGAAAUGUUGCAAAAUUGGAAGGAGAAACCAGUUGGUUGGUUCGGGUCUUUUCGUCCUUGAGCAGUAACAGUGUUCUUUUGUUUAGGCAUCCCUUUCUUGGCUAGUAUUUGACAGUUUUGGAACACAGCCGUGGCGUCUCCAAAGAUGAAAUCCACAGUACCACUAAUUUUGCAUUCACGGUAGAACUGACGCAUGGUGUGAGUAUAUAGGCUAUCUUGAUAACCGAAUAUCCC
rnacentral:lncRNA from 1 species